rnacentral:tRNA from 1 species
GCCUGGGUGGCUCUCUCGGUUAAGCGUCUGCCUUCGGCUCAGGUCCUGAUCUCAGGGUUGUGGGAUCAAAUCCCACUUUGGGCU